UGCAAGUCGAGCGGAAACGAUGGGAGCUUGCUCCCAGGCGUCGAGCGGCGGACGGGUGAGUAAUACUUAGGAAUCUACCUAGUAGUGGGGGAUAGCUCGGGGAAACUCGAAUUAAUACCGCAUACGUCCUACGGGAGAAAGGGGGCAGUUUACUGCUCUCGCUAUUAGAUGAGCCUAAGUCGGAUUAGCUAGAUGGUGGGGUAAAGGCCUACCAUGGCGACGAUCUGUAGCUGGUCUGAGAGGAUGAUCAGCCACACCGGGACUGAGACACGGCCCGGACUCCUACGGGAGGCAGCAGUGGGGAAUAUUGGACAAUGGGGGAAACCCUGAUCCAGCCAUGCCGCGUGUGUGAAGAAGGCCUUUUGGUUGUAAAGCACUUUAAGCAGUGAAGAAGACCUAACGGUUAAUACCCGUUAGCGAUGACAUUAGCUGCAGAAUAAGCACCGGCUAACUCUGUGCCAGCAGCCGCGGUAAUACAGAGGGUGCAAGCGUUAAUCGGAAUUACUGGGCGUAAAGCGAGCGUAGGUGGCUUGAUAAGUCAGAUGUGAAAUCCCCGGGCUUAACCUGGGAACUGCAUCUGAUACUGUUAAGCUAGAGUAGGUGAGAGGGAAGUAGAAUUCCAGGUGUAGCGGUGAAAUGCGUAGAGAUCUGGAGGAAUACCGAUGGCGAAGGCAGCUUCCUGGCAUCAUACUGACACUGAGGUUCGAAAGCGUGGGUAGCAAACAGGAUUAGAUACCCUGGUAGUCCACGCCGUAAACGAUGUCUACUAGUCGUUGGGUCCCUUGAGGACUUAGUGACGCAGCUAACGCAAUAAGUAGACCGCCUCGGAUAUAGAGG
rnacentral:rRNA from 1 species